AUCAGUUUCGCAUUGCACGUGGGUAAAACGCUAAUCAAACUGUUCAAGAAACUUACCUUCCCUUGGUGCUUCAGGAUCCCAUGCUGACCACAUCUGUACGGAGAAAAACGGAGUCCAGCACACUAUAUAAGCCAGUUUCCAGCUGGCAGAGUUGGUGUAAAGCAGAGUCCUAGAUGUGGAGAACCUCCUUUGCUCUCACUCGGUUCGCACUGAAUGGAGCGCGUCACGAUAUCACCACUUAUACAUCUUCUCAAUGGCUCUCCUCACCCAAACAUACCCGUGACUUCCACUAGGGGUCCGUGUGCUCUAUUGCAAAUCAGCCUUAUCACACUCCAUCAACUGAAUGCCCGAAUCCUGAACUGCGUCAGCGUCUCUCAGUGGACGCGCUGCAUACCAGGGUCAGGAGGAUUUCUGAAAGUCAACACGCUUAUAAAAUAGUGCCGGCCAAGGAAGGACAUCAACCAUCAGUUACGAAAAUUACAUAACUUAUUAAUGUCACACGAUAACAUGUUUUCAUAACUUAUAAUGGAAAGUAAAUGCAUUGGUUUUGUUGUUACACUUUUAAAUGUAGGUAUGUUUCUUAUUAUGAACAAAAAACAGAUGUGUUUUUGUGUGUGUGUGUGUGUGUGUGUGUUGUACAUGCAGAUCACAUUGCCCUCGAAACAUGUUGCUAAUCUGUCUGUGAUAGUCACAAUGGAGAGGAUUAGAAUAUGUGAAGUCAUUUGAAUUGACUAUAAUAGUUCAAAUGGAUGUGAUAAGAAAGAAAAACUUCACCAAAUCAUCAUUAAAGACUGACACUGUGCAAUCCAUCGACUGCGCUAAAUCAACCACUUUGCUGUCACUCAUAACACCCAAUGGUGGAAUGUCCCCAAUUUGUCAAACUGGUCAGCUUCAAGAGGAAUAAAUCACUCCAUGCUACAUCAACCUUCAUGUUUUCCAGCCCCACUAGUGCACUGGUAUCUCACCAUCACUCAUUUGUUUGGACGUCACAGGACCUCAGAUAUCCCAUGUGGCCAUUGCAAGAAAAUGGUUUGUUCGACUCUGAUAAUCUAACAUCUUAGCUUUUAAACCAUGUGCUAUCAUGGCCAACAGACCUAAAUCUAAGUCAUUGAAAGGAAAGGAUGUUGUGCGAAGUGAAUGGCGUUCUAUUGCAUGGCAAGUUCAUUUGCAUUAAAUGACUUUGUCUUAUUAUGUUCCAAACAAAACUUCUGCCUCCAGUACCUUUGGUGAAAAUAUGCAUAAGCCAGCUGCCUCAUAUAGCAGUAUAGGUUCAAAGAAUCCCUGUCGCAGUGCUGAGAGAAAUCUUGCUGAGACCACAAAGAGCUGUAAAUUACACCUGUCAGUGGCAUCUGUAGUUAAAUCUCAAGAUGCUUCCUGCUGAACAGGCAAAGCCACUGAAUGGGGUUCACAUGUCAACUUCAAUUUUAAACAAAUUUACCCAAAAACAGCUCCCGUGGAAUGAAAUGCACAGAUUGCCUAGUUUAACAAAAUUCCUCUAACAAGUCCAUAUGACACUCAUGGAGAAUCAAAGCUAAAUGUGCAAGUGCAGCUUCCUGGCAUGCUGUAAGGCUCAUAAUUGGCAUAAUAACGCCAUCUCUACCACAGCAGCAUCCUAAAAUCUCAUUUGGCCACCAAAGAGGGGCUCAGAAUAUGACUGCAGUCACCUUAGAUAAUCACUGUUUUGAGCUUCAAAAACAGUCCGGCUUCUUCUAGAGAAAAUAGCAGGACCUGGCUGACCCUAUAGGAGAUGUAUUCUUCUGACUGCACUGUUUAUUUACAGCAAAGCUCACUCAUUAUUCUCAGUGGUAGCAGUGGCGUAAGGGAACAGGCCUGGACUUCUUCUAGAAAUUUUAAACAACUCGUUUAGUUUUUAAACAACAAUCAGUUGCGUAAGAUUCAGUAAAAAGCAUAAUUUUUGCUUGUUGGAGAUUUUAUAAAUGUUCGUAAAGCUGUUUUCCUAGGUAUAUUUCUAAAGAACCAAAUCAUUAUUUUUACAGCGUGUCUCCUCUGUCAGCAUUAUGAUUUGUAUUGCCCAUUAUCAUUGAACAGUAAGCCUGGUUUUCAUUAUCAUCCCUGGCACAACUCCACCAUAAUUUGAUUUUCAAAUUUCAUUCCCUUUGGCAAGUGUAAUUGGUUAAAACAAAAACGAUGCUAAGAAAGUAUCUGGAAAUGGUCAACCGUCCCAUAAUAAAUAAAUAAAUGGGAAAAUUAAUAAAAUUAAAAAGAAAUGAAGAUACAUAGGCCAGAGGGGUUAUUGAUUUGUAAAAUAUGUGGUGUGUGCUGUACAAAAUACAAAACAGGUGAAAUAAUGAAGAGAGAAAGAGAUAUUCAUUCUUUAAUAUUCUUCUGAAUGUACACUCCUGUGCAAAGCCAAGCCAAAAAUGGCAAAAUAUUUAGUUGUCUUUUAAUGGUCUUAACCUUAAUCACAAAUUACUGGUCAGGAUAUUAGUAAGAAUUGCAAAAAUACUGUAGAUAAAGUAACUUGAAAAAGCCUUCCCCUUUUAUUUUCUUUAAAUGAUUAAGUUGUGUAAACUUGCAGACAGCUUUUUACAAGAAGAAGAGUCAGUGUUGUUCCAUCAAUGUUAGUGGCUUCAAACAGUUCAUGAGUAGUUGAAAAAUGUCUCACAGUUAGUUUGAGUUUAAUGUGAGACCAAAUAAUCACUAGAGAAGGUUCCAAUCUGGACUCUGACCACACCAAUACAUGAUGGACUUGUUCUCAAGCCAUUUCUUGGUUGUCUUUGCAAUUUGUGCAAGAGCAUUGUCUUCUUGAAAAAUAACAUCUGAUCAUUCCACUUGGGAAGCAAGCCAUUCUGCAAUAUUCUCCUGUACUCCAAAGCAUUAAAUGAUUUUUCACAGUGAAGUAGCUCAUCAAUACCAGCAGCUAAAAAGGCUCCCCAUGACAUCUCUUCCUCCAUGCUUCACUGUGGUAGAGAUGCAUUUAUUAUUAUAUUUCUCACCAGAUUUUUUAAAGACACCACUCUGGAGCAUCAACAUGCAACUCGUGUUUCACUGUGAUUGAUCACUCCACACAACUCUGCUGAACCACUCUGAAUCAAACUUCCCAUGUUCUGCCAAAAACUUUAUUCUCUCUUUGAUGUUUUUUUGUUUUUGUUUUUUUCAGACAGCAAUGGCUUUUUAAGAAGUGCACUUGCUUUAAUUUUACACAUUUUUUUGUGGUUAAGACGAUUAAAAGCUUAGUAUUUUGCAACAUUUUUGAGUGUACAUAACUCAACUUUAACGAGAAUGAUUAUGUGAUAAACUCAUAUUGUGGCACUAGAAGAUAUCACUACAAAUAAUAUAAUGCGGAGGUAAAUUAUUCAAUUCAAUUCAAUUCACAUUUAUUUGUAUAGCGCCUUUCACAAUAUACAGUGGGUACGGAAAGUAUUCAGACCCCCUAA